rnacentral:lncRNA from 10 species
GGUGCGUGCCUGUGGUCCUGGCUACUUGGAGGCUGAGGCAGGAGGAUGGCUUGAGCUCAGGAGCUCUGGGCUGCAGUGCACUGUGCCCAUCAGGUGUCCGUGCUAAAUUCAGCAUCAAGAGGGUGACCUCCCUGGAGCGGGGAACCGCCAGGUUGCCUAAGGAGGGGUGAACCGACCCAGGUCGGAAACGGAGCAGGUCAAAACUCCCGUGCUGAUC